CUCUCUUGUUUCACAUCUCACGCGUAGCAACCCUAAAUUGCCGCCGCCGCCGGCGCCGCCUUCUUCGACAGCGCGCAAGCUUCCCGAUCAGGCCACGCCGGAGCGCCUCCGACGUCGUUUUCCGAUUCAUCAGGAGAUCAAGGCAUUGAUCACUACAGGGACCGGAUACUUAGAACAAUAAUACUAUCUCAGGAGAAUUAAAACAUUCUACCAGUGAUAUUUGUCAAAGAGAAAUUCCAGCAUGUAUGAUUCAGGACACAUCAGAUAAGCCCGCCCUAAUAUCAAGUCUGUGAUGGGAUCUCCCAAAAGGAAGUUUGAGGGUGAGUACUUCGACAAUGUGUCAGUUUCCAACAAAAGAAUUUCAAUGCAGAAUACUGUUGAUGUGGAUCCCAAUCAAAGUGAGAUCUCUUGUAGUAAAGAUGGUUCAACGUGGACAAAUGGUGAUGGAUCAUUAGCUAAUCUUGAUCUAAUUUUAGUGACUAACAAUGAAAAAAUGCCAGAACAAACAAAUGAUAGAGCUUAUCGAACAAGUUGUAUAGCCGGUGAGGGUACUUCCAUCUUUAUUAUGUUGAAAGAUAAUAUCUCAAAAGAUGAUGGGACUGACAAAAUGGGAGUAGAAAAUGAUUUAUCAGCUAUCAAUUCGUCUACCAAUGAGGCAGCAGUCCAUGACAUUCAAGAAUCACCUGCAGCAGAAGAAAGUAACGAUACAAUUUAUAUCCAAGCUGGUUCUGGGGUAGAGUGGAUGCUUCCACAAGGAAAUAUACCGCACAACCUGAGGGAUGGCUCACAGAGUAGCGACACCCCAAGAAUCAGUGCUAAACUUGAAGAUUGUGAUUCACAUUAUGGCGUUGCUCAAGAUUUACACAAUAACACAAACUUAUUCCUAGAGACAUCUUCAAACACAUACCAUCUGGAAGCUACCAGUUUUACUGAGGAUGACAAGAAUGCGGAAGUAGAAAGAAUAAGAGGUUACACACACGAAAUCCCAAAAAUCCACUCAGGUGCAAUUUGCACCUUUCAGUCAGUUUCUACGCCUGUUGAUUCUUCUGAUCCUACUAGGCUAUAUAUGUCAGAUAAGAAAGCAACUACCAACAGUGUAGUUGUACAGCAGACUGAGAGCUGGCUGGACAGCUCUGGUGCAGCACAUCAGUGUGAUGUUGUCUCUGUGGAAGCCAGCCUAAAGUUCCUUCAAUCUGGCCUGAAAGAAGGAGGAAGUGUGCCUCCAUCACCAAUUAGAGGUUUAAUACUAUCUCCUCCAAUUUUACCCAUGAAGCAACAUAAUCAAUUGGAUUCAUGUAAUGAAGAAUGUGCAAAUUUCUCAUUUAGAUUAGAGAACAAGUUUGGUAAUGAUUCAUCAGGGAACACUUUUAGAGAGACAUGUAACUUAGGACCUGAAGACGAAUCCGAAUGUGUGAAAUCAGCUAUUAAUGAUAAAUACAAACAUACUGAUCCGGAGGAGAAAAUACUUUUGUCAUCAUCAGCAAGUCAUAUCAUGUCUUCUGAUAUAACCCAGGGCCAGGUCACAAGUUCAAAUUUUGCUUUGCCUAAUACAGAAAAAAGUUCUAAAUUUUCACGGAAAAAGUUAAUUGUUCUUGAUUUGAAUGGAUUACUGGCUGAUAUCAAUCAGGAUUACCGGAAUGCUCAUAAAGCACAUAGCAGAGUUGGAGGGAAAUUAGUUUUCAAAAGGCCCUUCUGUGAUGAUUUUCUCAAGUUUUGUUUCGAGAGAUUUAAUGUAGGUGUCUGGUCCUCAAGAAGAAGAUACAAUGUGGACUCUGUGGUUGAAUAUCUCAUGGGAGAUUUGAAAAGUAAACUGUUAUUUUGUUGGGACCAAUCAAAAUGCACUGACACUGGAUGUGUGACCAUCGACAACAUUCAUAAACCACUUCUUCUCAAGGAGCUAAACAAAUUAUGGGACAAAGAGGACCCUGACCUUCCAUGGGAAAAGGGAGAAUACUCAGCAUCUAACACAUUACUUAUAGAUGAUUCUCCUUACAAAGCUCUUUGCAAUCCCCCUCACACUGCUAUUUUCCCAGAUCCAUAUAGUUUUACCAACAAAGAUGACGAUUGCUUGGGACCUGAAGGCAGGCUUCGUCAUUAUUUGGAAGGGCUAGCAAUGGCAGAUGAUGUUCAACUAUAUAUUCAAGCAAAUCCUUUUGGCCAGAAUCCUAUUGCAGAUAGUAAUCCAUCAUGGAAAUUCUACCAUCAGAUCAUUGAUAAAAUUCAGAACUCAUCAUCUCUAACUACUUGAAGCUGAUGGUUUCUCCUCAUUGCCUGUGCUGUAGUGAUUGUAUUUUUCAUAAAGAUGCCACAGUUAUGUUCAAGUCUUUGUAAAUCUGGAAGAGUGGAACUACUCUAAUAUUAUUCUUAUUGGUUUGCAAGGGAAUGCAAAUUUCUCAUAAAUCCUCUUUUUAGCAAUUCCGUUCUUUUGGGCAAUAUACUGCAAAAGAUGGUUCUUAUUUCAUAUUAAACCUCAUCAAUCAUUUGAAGUUGUUCUCCAGCUCUGUACAUGUGUUUCCAAAGUACUUGAAUGCUUCAUCUGAUUGUUUUAAUGUUUAAUUGUUUGUUUAUCGAUGUGGAUCAAGUUGAAAUAUCUUCA